rnacentral:rRNA from 1 species
ACAUGAAGCUGGAAUCGCUAGUAAUCGUAGAUCAGCAUGCUACGGUGAAUACGUUCCCGGGUCUUGUACACACCGCCCGUCACACCACGAGAGUUUGUAACACCCGAAGCCGGUGGAGUAACCUUUUGGAGCUAGCCGUCGAAGGUGGGACAAAUGAUUGGGGUGAAGUCGUAACAAGGUAGCCGUAUCGGAAGGUGCGGCUGGAUCACCUCCUUUCUAAGGA